rnacentral:rRNA from 1 species
GCAAGGAAUAGUAGGCAAUGGGCGCAAGCCUGACCUCGCGACGCCGCGUGAGGGAUGAAGGUCUUCGGAUCGUAAACCUCUUUUCUCAAGGAUGAAUAAUGACAGUACUUGAGGAAUAAGUCACGGCUAACUACGUGCCAGCAGCCGCGGUAAAACGUAGGUGGCGAACGUUAUCCGGAUUUACUGGGCGUAAAGAGUGCGUAGGCGGUCAUUCAAGUCAGAUGUAAAAUCUCCUGGCUCAACUGGGAGGGACCAUCUGAUACUGCUUGACUGGAGUACAGCAGAGGAAAGUGGAAUUCCCGGUGUAGUGGUGGAAUGCGUAGAUAUCGGGAGGAACACCUGUGGCGAAAGCGGCUUUCUGGGCUGUUACUGACGCUGUUGCACGAAAGCGUGGGGAGCAAACAGGAUUAGAAACCCUAGUAGUCC